rnacentral:rRNA from 1 species
UACGAGGGGGGCAAAUGUUGUUCGGAAUCACUGGGCGUAAAGGGAGCGUAGGCGGGCUGUCAAGUCUGGGGUGAAAUGCCGCGGCUCAACCGUGGAACUGCCUUAGAUACUGACGGCCUCGAGGGAGGUAGGGGCGUGCGGAACUGUAGGUGGAGCGGUGAAAUGCGUUGAUAUCUACAGGAACUCCGGUGGCGAAAGCGGCGCGCUGGACCUCUUCUGACGCUGAGGCGCGAAAGCUAGGGGAGCAAACGGG